CCUACGGGUGGCAGCAGUGAGGAAUAUUGGUCAAUGGGCGCUAGCCUGAACCAGCCAAGUAGCGUGAAGGAUGACUGCCCUAUGGGUUGUAAACUUCUUUUAUAUGGGAAUAAAGUGCAGUAUGUAUACUGCUUUGCAUGUACCUUAUGAAUAAGGAUCGGCUAACUCCGUGCCAGCAGCCGCGGUAAUACGUAGGGAGCGAGCGUUGUCCGGAAUUACUGGGUGUAAAGGGGGCGUGGGGGGGGAUGCAAGUUGGGUGUCAAAACUACCGGCUAAACGGGUAGUCGCAGUCGAAACUGCAGCUCUUGAGUGCAGUAGAGGCAGGCGGAAUUCCUGGUGUAGCGGUGAAAUGCGUAGAUAUUAGGAGGAACACCAGUGGCGAAGGCGGCCUGCUGGGCUUUUACUGACGCUGAGGCUCGAAAGUGUGGGGAGCAAACAGGAUUAGAUACCCUGGUAGUC
rnacentral:rRNA from 1 species